AUAGAACUUGGCAGGGGAGAUGCCGUGGUCACCGACAUGGUUUUCCUUGGCAAGGCGGACUCACUACACUCUAGAUGUGCUGAACCCUGCAAUUUCCCCAAAAGCGUGAAACUUGACUACAUGAUUUGUAUAGUGGGGAACUGUGUUCAUGUUCUCCCCUG
rnacentral:snRNA from 7 species